rnacentral:rRNA from 1 species
UACGUAGGGGGCAAGUGUUAUCCGGAAUUACUGGGUGUAAAGGGUGCGUAGGUGGUAUGGCAAGUCAGAAGUGAAAACCCAGGGCUUAACUCUGGGACUGCUUUUGAAACUGUCAGACUGGAGUGCAGGAGAGGUAAGCGGAAUUCCUAGUGUAGCGGUGAAAUGCGUAGAUAUUAGGAGGAACAUCAGUGGCGAAGGCGGCUUACUGGACUGAAACUGACACUGAGGCACGAAAGCGUGGGGAGCAAACAGG